rnacentral:misc_RNA from 1 species
GAUGAAGAACGCAGCGAAAGGCGAUAAGUAAUGUGAAUUGCAGAAUUCAGUGAAUCAUCGAAUCUUUGAACGCACAUUGCGCCCCUUGGUAUUCCGAGGGGCAUGCCUGUUCGAGCGUCAUUAUAACCCCUCAAGCUCAGCUUGGUGUUGGGGCCUGCUGCACUGGCAGCCCUUAAAAUCAGUGGCGGCGCCAUCUGGCUCUAAGCGUAGUAAUUCUUCUCGCUAUGGAGUCCUGGUGGAUGCUUGCCAUCAACCCCCAAUUUUUCUAUGGUUGACCUCGGAUCAGGUAGGGAUACCCGCUGAACUUAAGCAUAUCAAUAAGCGGAGGA